GACGAACGCUGGCGGCGUGCUUAACACAUGCAAGUCGAACGGAAAGGCCCUGCUUUUGUGGGGUGCUCGAGUGGCGAACGGGUGAGUAACACGUGAGUAACCUGCCCUUGACUUUGGGAUAACUUCAGGAAACUGGGGCUAAUACCGGAUAGGAGCUCCUGCUGCAUGGUGGGGGUUGGAAAGUUUCGGCGGUUGGGGAUGGACUCGCGGCUUAUCAGCUUGUUGGUGGGGUAGUGGCUUACCAAGGCUUUGACGGGUAGCCGGCCUGGGAGGGUGACCGGCACAUUGGGACUGAGAUACGGGCCAGACUCCUACGGGAGGCAGGAGGGGGGAAUAUUGCAAAAUGGGCGGAAGCCUGAUGCAGCAACGCCGCGUGCGGGAUGACGGCCUUCGGGGUGGAAACCGCUUUCGCCGGUGACGAAGCGUGAGUGACGGUAAUGGGUAAAGAAGCACCGGCUAACUACGUG
rnacentral:rRNA from 1 species